CCUUCAAAUAUAAUUGCCAUAUUGAGAAAGUAUUUACAAGGUGCGGGACGUAAGGAAACGGAACGAUGUUACGAGCGGUAGGCCUUCUUCUGCUACUAGACCUUUCGAUGCCCGAACAAAGCACAAACUGUACUAAGGAGGGGACACUCUGCCACUUCUUAAUUAACCCAUGUUGCCCGACACUCACCUGUGUUCGCUACACGGCUGGCUUUGGCAUGAGCGGCAUCUGUAUCCCAGAUAUACGAUUCGGGGACGAAUACAACGUGCCCGAUACCGAACCUCCCGAGAUAAUUACGCCAAUACCACCCGAAGGAGGUAUGGACGUCGUACCUGCUGGGCCUGUGGAUCCAUUGAAAAUCCUCCCUAUUCGGCCUGACUGCAGUAAAGGAAAAUGAUCCAACGAAUGGACUGCGUGAUCACUCCUAGCUUCGAGACCAUGGCAACAACAAACCGGUGGCUAUAGACGACCCGCACACUUACGUCAUUGAUUACGUAAUGCCGCCGCGCAAAGGAUGCUGGUGGGCAUUAUCAGUUUUAUCAGCCUAUCAGCCGACGCGUCUUUCCCUCUUCUUGCCCACCACAGCAAAAUAUAUCCUCGAACCGGUCUUCUCGUGGCGUCACAUGUUUGUAAACAGAGGGUCGUGGCAACAUUUUUCUUAAAGGGACUAUCGCAUCCGGGAACGUAUGUAUGAGACCAGUACGGUAAUAUUCGUCACCGCUUCACAGUCAACAUGGCCAAUUCUCUCUUCCGGAAACAGCUUACAUAUUAAAUAAACGAGUUUUAAAGAUACGCACUCCCUCUGCA